rnacentral:rRNA from 1 species
UACGAAGGGGGCUAGCGUUGUUCGGAAUUACUGGACGUAAAGCGCGCGCAGGCGGUCUUCCAAGUCAGUGGUGAAAGCCCGGAGCUCAACUCCGGAACUGCCAUUGAAACUGUUGGACUUGAGUAUGAGAGAGGUGAGUGGAAUUCCCAGUGUAGAGGUGAAAUUCGUAGAUAUUCGGAAGAACACCAGUGGCGAAGGCGACUCACUGGACAGGUAUUGACGCUGAGGUGCGAAAGCGUGGGGAGCAAACGGG